GAAAUGCGAUAAGUAAUGUGAAUUGCAGAAUUCAGUGAAUCAUCCAAUCUUUGAACGCACCUUGCGCUCCUUGGUAUUCCUUGGAGCAUGCCUGUUUGAGUAUCAUGAAAUCUUCAAAGUAAAUCUUUUGUUAACUCAAUUGGUUUCUACUUUGGUAUUGGAGGUCUUUGCAGCUUCACACCUGCUCCUCUUUGUUCAUUAGCUGGAUCUCAGUGUUAUGCUUGGUUCCACUCGGCGUGAUAAGUUAUCUAUCGCUGAGGACACUGUAAAAGGUGGCCAAGGUAAAUGCAGAUGAACCGCUUCUAAUAGUCCAUUGACUUGGACAAUACUUUUAUGAUCUGAUCUCAAAUCAGGCAGGACUACCCGCUGAACUUAAGC
rnacentral:misc_RNA from 1 species